AUUGAACGCUGGCGGCAGGCCUAACCCAUGCAAGUCGAACGGUAGCACAGAGAGCUUGCUCUCGGGUGACGAGUGGCGGACGGGUGAGUAAUGUCUGGGAAACUGCCCGAUGGAGGGGGAUAACUACUGGAAACGGUAGCUAAUACCGCAUAAUGUCGCAAGACCAAAGAGGGGGACCUUCGGGCCUCUUGCCAUCGGAUGUGCCCAGAUGGGAUUAGCUUGUUGGUGAGGUAAUGGCUCACCAAGGCGACGAUCCCUAGCUGGUCUGAGAGGAUGACCAGCCACACUGGAACUGAGACACGGUCCAGACUCCUACGGGAGGCAGCAGUGGGGAAUAUUGCACAAUGGGCGCAAGCCUGAUGCAGCCAUGCCGCGUGUGUGAAGAAGGCCUUCGGGUUGUAAAGCACUUUCAGCGGGGAGGAAGGCGAUACGGUUAAUAACCGUGUUGAUUGACGUUACCCGCAGAAGAAGCACCGGCUAACUCCGUG
rnacentral:rRNA from 1 species